rnacentral:rRNA from 1 species
CCUACGGGAGGCAGCAGGUCAGAAUAUUGGACAAUGGGCGAAAGCCUGAUCCAGUGACGCCGCGUGGGCGAUGAAGCCCUUCGGGGUGUAAAGCCCUUUUCUGGGAGAAGAACUCCUGACGGUAUCCCAGGAAUAAGCCCCGACUAACUACGUGCCAGCAGUCGCGGUAAUACGUAGGGGGCAAGCGUUAUCCGGAAUUACUGGGCGUAAAGAGCGCGUAGGCGGCGUGGAAAGUUCGGCGUGAAAUCCAGAGGCUUAACCUGUGGGGGUCGUCGAAUACUUCUGCGCUAGAGGUGAAAAGAGGGAAGUGGAGCUUGUGGUGUAGCGGUGAAAUGCGUUGAUAUCACAAGGAACACCAGUGGCGAAGGCGGCUUCCUGGUUUCAUCCUGACGCUGAGGCGCGAAAGCUAGGGUAGCGAACGGGAUUAGAUCCCCCUGUAGU